rnacentral:rRNA from 1 species
GGUCAAGCUACUAAGGGCGUACGGGGGAUGCCUUGGCGCAAGCAGGCGAUGAAGGACGUGGCAGGCUGCGAAAAACCUCGGGGAGCUGCGAGCAAGCUGUGAUCCGGGGGUGUCCGAAUGGGGAAACCCGACCGGUGUGAACACCGGUCAUCCUUGUCUGAAUCCAUAGGGCAGGGAGGCGAACCCGGGGAAGUGAACCAUCUCAGUACCCGGAGGAAGAGAAAACAAUAGUGAUUCCGUUAGUAGCGGCGAGCGAACGCGGAACAGCCCAAACCGGCCGAGCUGUGAGGCAAGGCCGGGGUUGUAGGACCGCAUCAUGGGAUCGGAAUGGUUAGCCGAAUGUAUUUGGAAAACUCGACCAAAGAAGGUGAUAGUCCUGUAGGCGAAAACCUGAACGACUCAGUGGUAUCCUGAGUACCGCGGGGCACGGGAAACCUUGUGGGAAUCUGCCGGGACCAUCCGGCAAGGCUAAAUACUCGCUUGCGACCGAUAGUGAACUAGUACCGUGAGGGAAAGGUGAAAAGUACCCCUGCUAGGGGAGUUAAAAGUACCUGAAACCGUAUGCCUACAAGCAGUGGGAGGGCCGUGGCCGUUCUUAUUCGUAAGUUCAGCCGCGCCUGACCGCGUGCCUUUUGCUUAAUGAGCUGGCUAGUUAUUCUCAGUGGCAAGGUUAAGCUUCAGCGAGCCGCAGCGAAAGCGAGUCUGAAUAGGGCGUGGAGUCGCUGGGAAUAGACGCGAAACGGGAUGAUCUACCCUUGGCCAGGGUGAAAGUUGUGUAACAGCAACCGGAGGCCCGAACCAUUGUCGGUUGAAAACGGCUUGGAUGAGCUGAGGGUAGGGGUGAAAGGCUAAUCAAAUUCCGUGAUGGCUCGUUCUCUCCGAAAUAGCUUUAGGGCUAGCCUUGCGUAUCUGCAACGGUGGUAGGGCUCUGGAUGGACUAGGGGGCUUCCAAGCUUACCGAAUCCAACUAAACUUCGAAUGCCGUUGACAUCGAGCGCAGGAGUCAGACUGUGGGGGCUAAGCUUCAUGGUCAAAAGGGAAACAACCCAGAUCGCCGGCUAAGGUCCCGGAAUGAGUGCUAAGUGGGUAAGGAAGUCAAGAGGCCCAGACAGCCAGGAGGUUGGCUUAGAAGCAGCCACCCUUUAAAGAAAGCGUAAUAGCUCACUGGUCAAGCCUCUCGGCACCGAAAAUGUAACGGGGCUCAAGCACUCUACCGAAGCCGCGGGUUCGAAUUUAUUCGGACGGUAGGAGAGCAUUCUAAACUGGUCGAAGUCAGUCUGCAAGGAUUGGUGGACGGUUUGGAAGAGACUCUGCCAGCAUUAGUAGCGAGAAACCAGGUGAGAAUCCUGGUCGCCGAAAGUCUAAGGUUUCCUGAGCAAGGUUCAUCCGCUCAGGGUUAGUCGGGGCCUAAGGUGAGGCCGAAAGGCGUAGCCGAUGGAUACGCGGUAAACAUUCCGCGACUACCUUGCUUCGUUUGACGAUGGGGUGACGCAGGAGGCUAAAUGAGAGUGCUGAUGGAAAUGCACUUUGGCCGUCGUAAGGUGUUCCGGGCAGGCAAAUCCACCCGGAAGCUAUCACUGAGGACGGACGCGAAGGGGCAACCCGACUUAGUCAUGACGCCACACUGCCAGGAAAAACCUCUAAGGAGAAGUCAAGGUACCCGUACCGUAAACGGACACACGUAGAUGAGAUGAGUAUUCUCAGGCGCUCGGGUGAAGGGUUGUUCAGGAACUCGGCAAAUUAGCCCCGUAACUUCGGGAGAAGGGGCGCCUCCUUCUGGGAGGCCGCAGUGAAAUGGCUCAGGCGACUGUUUAACAAAAACACAGGUCUCUGCAAAGUCGAAAACGACGUAUAGGGGCUGACGCCUGCCCGGUGCCGGAAGGUUAAGAGGAGGGGUUAGCUUCGGCGAAGCUCUGAAUCGAAGCCCCGGUGAACGGCGGCCGUAACUAUAACGGUCCUAAGGUAGCGANNNNNNNNNNGAAAUUCCUUGUCGGGUAAGUUCCGACCUGCACGAAUGGCGUAACGAUCUGAGCACUGUCUUAACAACCUGCCCGGCGAAGUUGUGGUCCCGGUGAAGACGCCGGGUGCCCGCCACAAGACGGAAAGACCCCGUGCACCUUUACUACAACUUACCAGUGAAUCGCGGUGCGGUUUGCGCAGGAUAGGUGGGAGGCUUUGAAUCCGGGUUCUUGGACUCGGAGGAGCCAUCGGUGAGAUACCACCCUGAUCGUAUUGCGGUUCUAACCUGCUCCCCUGAGCGGGGAGAGGGACACUGGUUGGUGGGUAGUUUGACUGGGGCGGUCGCCUCCCAAAAUGUAACGGAGGCGCGCGAUGCUCGGCUCAGGCUGUUUGGAAAUCAGCCGCAGAGUGCAAUAGCAUAAGCCGGGUUGACUGCGAGACCUACAAGUCGAGCAGGUGCGAAAGCAGGCUAUAGUGAUCCGGCGGUUCCGUAUGGAAGGGCCGUCGCUCAACGGAUAAAAGGUACGCCGGGGAUAACAGGCUGAUCCAAGCCAAGAGUUCACAUCGACGCUUGGGUUUGGCACCUCGAUGUCGGCUCAUCGCAUCCUGGGGGUGAAGAAGCUCCCAAGGGUUGGGCUGUUCGCCCAUUAAAGCGGUACGUGAGCUGGGUUCAGAACGUCGCGAGACAGUUCGGUCCCUAUCUGUGGUGGGCGUAGGAGAUUUGAGGGGGGCUGCCUCUAGUACGAGAGGACCGAGGCGGACGAACCUCUUGUGAUCCAGUUGUCACGCCAGUGGCAUAGCUGGGUAGCGAAGUUCGGUCGAGAUAAGCGCUGAAAGCAUAUAAGCGCGAAGCUCUCCCCAAGAUGAGAUCUCCCAAGCGCAAGCUAAUAAGGGCACUCGAAGACGACGAGUUUGAUAGGACGGAUGUGUACGCGUGGUAACACGUUCAGCUAACCGUUACUAAUCGCCCGUUCGGCUUGACCAU